AUUGAACGCUGGCGGCAGGCCUAACACAUGCAAGUCGAGCGGAUGAAGGGAGCUUGCUCCUGGAUUCAGCGGCGGACGGGUGAGUAAUGCCUAGGAAUCUGCCUGGUAGUGGGGGAUAACGUCCGGAAACGGGCGCUAAUACCGCAUACGUCCUGAGGGAGAAAGUGGGGGAUCUUCGGACCUCACGCUAUCAGAUGAGCCUAGGUCGGAUUAGCUAGUUGGUGGGGUAAAGGCCUACCAAGGCGACGAUCCGUAACUGGUCUGAGAGGAUGAUCAGUCACACCGGAACUGAGACACGGUCCAGACUCCUACGGGAGGCAGCAGUGGGGAAUAUUGGACAAAGGGCGAAAGCCUGAUCCAGCCAUGCCGCGUGUGUGAAGAAGGUCCUCGGAUUGUAAAGCACUUUAAGUUGGGAGGAAGGGCAGUAAGUUAAUACCUUGCUGUUUUGACGUUACCAACAGAAUAAGCACCGGCUAACUUCGUG
rnacentral:rRNA from 1 species